AUGGCCAUGGAGAGGUUUCUGACUGCCCUCGUCUUCUGCGCGGCGCCCCUGGAUGAAUACGGCAUGUUGAUGAUGACCUCUAGGGCGAUCAAGCCGCUGGUGUCCGCUGGCUCGAUGAAGCUGGCGGCUGCUGCGCCCAAGGCUGAGGAUGCGUACGCCCGGAAGAAGCCUGGAUUCUGCGGCGAGACAAUCACGCAGCGGCGUACUGGGUACGAGCUGGCGUUCGACGGUCUCAACUGCUUUGACACCGUCGUCGUGCACCAAUCAUGA
rnacentral:rRNA from 1 species